UGGGUUUGUCCUAAGUUAAACUUGUCUAACUUUGGCCAAACUUAUACAAAAAUAUAAUAAUAGCUACCAUACCAAAUAAAUUCACUACCAAAAUAUAUUCUAUGCUGGAUUGAAGAAAACCAAUUUGGUAUCAUAGAUCUUAUUAUAUCUUUUAAUAAAUUUGGUCAAAGUUAGAUAAGUUUGACUUAGGACAAACCCAA
rnacentral:pre_miRNA from 1 species